AUCAACGCAUAGUACAUGGUACUUUAUGGUGAUGUUAGUCAGCCUCUGAUUCAACCAAAAAGCAAGCUCAUUUUUCAAAAAUUUACUGAGUGUUUCUUAUAUAUUUUAUUUAUAUAUAUUAUUUAAAAAUCAUUAUCAGAGAAUCAGAUUAUGAAUGUAUGAAAGUACCUUAUUUAUUUUGUUGUGACCUUAGUUUUCUUUUCGACAAUUGGUAUACAUAAAUAUAAAAAAUAUUUCUACUGUCUGUUAAUAAACCUUAUGUAUUGUGAUUAUAAUAUAAUUAGAAAAGUAUUUAAAUGACAAAAUAUGUCGUACAUUCAAUCCAAAAAUUUCUGAAAAUACAUAACGUUAUACCUGACAA